GCUCAGGAUGAACGCUAGCUACAGGCUUAACACAUGCAAGUCGAGGGGCAGCAUGAAGUCUGCUUGCAAACUUUGAUGGCGACCGGCGCACGGGUGAGUAACGCGUAUCCAACCUCCCGCAUACUCGGGGAUAGCCUUCUGAAAGGAAGAUUAAUACCCGAUGGUAUCUUAAGUGCCCAUGCAAUUAAGAUUAAAGAAUUUCGGUAUGCGAUGGGGAUGCGUUCCAUUAGGUAGUAGGCGGGGUAACGGCCCACCUAGCCAUCGAUGGAUAGGGGUUCUGAGAGGAAGGUCCCCCACAUUGGAACUGAGACACGGUCCAAACUCCUACGGGAGGCAGCAGUGAGGAA
rnacentral:rRNA from 1 species